rnacentral:lncRNA from 1 species
CCGAGCUCACUCACCUGUGAUGCUUUCAGUUUCGUUUGAAGUCUCGCUAAGCGUGCGAUGUGCGCGCAGUUUAGACGCCAGAGCAAACGAGCCAUACAGAACCUUCACAAUGUCGAAUCUUCUGCUUCUGCUGCUGUUUUGCAUCAUCUAUCAUAGCGGUCAGUGUACACUCUAAAAAAUGCUGGGUUAAAUACAACUCAGUGCUGGGUUAAUUAGGGACAAACCCAGCAGUUUGGUUAAAUGUUUAACCCAACCUUCUGGGUAGUAACCCAACCGCUGGGUCAAAACAACCCAAUUGCUGGGUUUGUCCCUAUUUUACCCAGCACUGGGUUGUAUUUAACCCAGCAUUUUUUAGAGUGUAAUUUUUGUUUAUAAAAUGUCAAUUGUUUUGAUUUUUCAGUUCCAGCUAGAGUUAUUCUAGUCCAUUGAUUUUUUCUGUUGCACCCCUACGUGAAGUUCUUUUGUUGACGUUUGUGAAUUGAUGGUGGAAAUUCCCCAGCAUAUUACGUCAUCAUUGCACAUCAUGACGUCACUGACUUAUCCAUGCAGUUCAUUCCAGUUCAUUAAUUAUUAAACAUUGUUUGGUCAGGGUCUACUGUCAUGAAUGAGGUUUGUUUGUGAUCUCUGAAAGACCAGUACAACACAAAACUGUCUCAUGAGAUGAACAGUUCUGAACGCUAAAGAAAUUGAAAAUAAUUAGCUAGGAUUUAAACACAUUCUCAUACUUUAAUGUUUUUGCGUUUUGUUUCAAUUUCAUGGGCAAUAGCUUGAACCUACAACCUAAAUCUUUACAUUCUUUUUUUUUUUUUAAGAUUUAUUUUUGACAUUUUUGCCUUUUUUUAUUUGAUAGGAUAGUAGUUAGACAGGAAACGAAGUUGGAGAGAGAGGGGGGACGGGACAGGGAAAGGUCCUGGGACUCGAACACGGGACGCCCGAAGCACAACGGCGCUACAUGUAGACGCGCUGCCCACGAGGCUUUUGGCGCAGACUACGUUCAUUCCUGAUGCUAAAUUUUGGAGAAACUCCACCAUUGAAUCACAACACUGAAUCAACUUGAAUGUGUGGUGGAACCUCUUGAGCAAAAGAAAAGCACUAAAAUAACUCUACUAGAAUAUUUUAUGGUGACACUGAUUACAGAGAAUAAACAGAAACACAUUUAUUUUUCAGUAUUGAUACUUUGUAUUGAAUGUAUCUGUAUUUACAGGAACCUCCACUAUACCUGUGAAAGGAAGAAAGGGAGGCGACGCCAUACUGACAUGUGAAUACAAGGCCAGAGAGAUUUCAGAUAUUCGUUUCAUUCGUCACAGAAAACGCAUCCACUUUGCUGUCAUCCCUGUUUGUCCGAAUGAAGAACAUAAACGUGCGCGUGCCCG